GAUGAACGCUGGCGGCGUGCCUAAUACAUGCAAGUAGAACGCUGAAGUAGGAGCUUGCUCUUCUGGAUUAGUUGCGGACGGGUGAGUAACGCUUAGGUAACCUGCCUGGUAGCGGGGGAUAACUAUUUGAAACGAUAGCUAAUACCGCAUGACAACAGUUAUUGCAUGAUAACUGUGUAAAAGGUGCAACUGCUCCACUACCAGAUGGACCUGCGUUGUAUUAGCUAGUUGGUGAGGUAACGGCUCACCAAGACUACGAUACAUAGCAGACCUGAGAGGGUACUAGGCAACGCUGGGACUGAGACACGACCAAGAAUCCUACGGGAGACAGCAGUAGGGAAUCUCUGCGAAUGGAAGGAAGGGUGAACGAGCAACGCUGCGUGAGUGAAGGAGGUAUUCAGAUCGUAAGGCUCUGUAGGAAGAGAAGAACGAGUGGGACAGUGGCAAGUUCACACUGUGACAGUAUCUUACCAGAAAGGGACGGCUAACUACGUG
rnacentral:rRNA from 1 species